CAACCCCUUCUUGCCAAAUUGGGGAGAGAAAUACCACUAGUCCUUCAUCGAGGGGUGGUGCUUGAAGGUGUAAAAAUACCUAAACAAAGAAAGGGAUGGCUGAACUUCGACUACAUGGCAAAGGGAGAGGAACCCUAUCAAAAACCUAAAGGAAUUCGGUGCAACCGAAGCUAAAGAAAUGUCUAAAAAAUAGAAAAAGAUGACGAC
rnacentral:lncRNA from 1 species